rnacentral:rRNA from 1 species
UCGAGGAUCUUCGGCAAUGGGCGCAAGCCUGACCGAGCGACGUCGCGUGUGGGAUGAAGGCUUUCGGGUUGUAAACCACUGUCAGUGGGGAGACCUAUCCGCAGAGGAAGCAAGGGCUAAGUUCGUGCCAGCAGCCGCGGUAAGACGAACCUUGCUAACGUUAUUCGGAAUUACUGGGCUUAAAGGGUGCGUAGGCGGUGCAGCAAGUCGGGUGUGAAAGCCCUCAGCUCAACUGAGGAAUUGCGCCGAAACUGCUGUGCUUGAGGAAUACAGAGGUAUGCGGAACUUAGGGUGGAGCGGUGAAAUGCGUUGAUAUCCUAAGGAACACCGGUGGCGAAAGCGGCAUACUGGGUAUUUUCUGACGCUCAUGCACGAAAGCUAGGGUAGCGAACGGGAUUAGAUACCCUAGUAGU